AUUGAACGCUGGCGGCAGGCCUAACACAUGCAAGUCGAACGAGUGGCGGACGGGUGAGUAAUGUCUGGGAAACUGCCUGAUGGAGGGGGAUAACUACUGGAAACGGUAGCUAAUACCGCAUACCAUCAGAUGUGCCCACAUGGUAUUAGCUUGUUGGUGGGGUAACGGAUCACCAAGGCGACGUUCCCUAGCUGGUCUGAGAGGAUGACCGGACACACGGUAACUGAGACACGGUCCAGACGCCUACGGGAGACAGAAGUGGGGAAUAGUGCACAAUGGGCGCAAGACUGAUGCAGCCAUGACGCGUGUAUGAAGAAGGCCUUCGGGUUGUAAAGUACUUUCAGCGGGGAGGCGUUACCCGCAGAAGAAGCGCCGGCUAACUCCGGGCCAGCAGACGCGGUAAUUC
rnacentral:rRNA from 1 species